rnacentral:rRNA from 1 species
UACGGAGGGUGCAAGCGUUAUCCGGAUUUACUGGGCUUAAAGGGUGCGUAGGUGGGUCCGUAAGUCAGUGGUGAAAUCUCCGAGCUUAACUCGGAAACUGCCAUUGAUACUAUAGAUCUUGAAUUAUCUGGAGGUGAGCGGAAUAUGUCAUGUAGCGGUGAAAUGCUUAGAUAUGACAUAGAACACCAAUUGCGAAGGCAGCUCACUACGGAUUGGUUGACACUGAGGCACGAAAGCGUGGGGAUCAAACAGG